rnacentral:rRNA from 1 species
GAAGUGCAGAAACGCACGGAGCUAAACCGGGUGGCAGAAGAGAGGCCCAAGCGACUGUUUCCACAAACACAGGCGUCUGCUAAAGCGAAAGCUGAUGUAUAGAUGCUGACACCUGCCCGGUGCUGGAAGGUUAAGAGGAAGUGUUAGCGUAAGCGAAGCAGUGAAUUGAAGCCCCAGUAAACGGCGGCCGUAACUAUAACGGUCCUAAGGUAGCGAAAUUCCUUGUCGGGUAAGUUCCGACCCGCACGAAAGGUGUAACGAUUUGGGCACUGUCUCAACGAGGGACCCGGUGAAAUUGAAGUACCUGUGAAGAUGCAGGUUACCCGCGACUGGACAGAAAGACCCCAUGGAGCUUUACUGUAACCUGAGAUUGGAUUCCGGUAAGAGAUGUACAGGAUAGUUGGGAGGCUGAGAAGCAAGUACGCCAGUAUUUGCCGAGCCGGUGGUGGGAUACCAACCUUGUUUUAUUGGAAUUCUAACGAGAAGCCUAACAAGCUUGCGGACAGUCUCAGGCGGGCAGUUUGACUGGGGCGGUCGCCUCCGAAAGAGUAACGGAGGCGCCCAAAGGUUCCCUCAGCGCGGACGGAAACCGCGCGAAGAGUGCAAAGGCAGAAGGGAGCUUGACUGCGAGACGGACAGGUCGAGCAGGGACGAAAGUCGGGCUUAGUGAUCCGGUGGUAGAGAGUGGAAUUGCCAUCGCUCAACGGAUAAAAGCUACCCUGGGGAUAACAGGCUUAUCUCUCCCAAGAGUCCAUAUCGACGGGGAGGUUUGGCACCUCGAUGUCGGCUCAUCACAUCCUGGGGCUGAAGUAGGUCCCAAGGGUUGGGCUGUUCGCCCAUUAAAGUGGUACGCGAGCUGGGUUCAGAACGUCGUGAGACAGUUCGGUCCCUAUCCAUCGCGGGCGGAAGAAACUUGAAAGGGGCUGCUCCUAGUACGAGAGGACCGGAGUGGACCGACCAAUGGUGUACCAGUCAUGGCGCCAGCCGUGCAGCUGGGUAGCUACGUCGGGGACGGAUAAACGCUGAAAGCAUCUAAGCGUGAAACCAGCCUAAAGAUGAGGUUUCUCAUUGUGAAAACAAGUAAGGUCCCACAAAGACGAUGUGGUUGAUAGGCCGGAAGUGGAAGUACAGCGAUGUAUGGAGCGGACCGGUACUAAUAGACCGAGGACUUGACUUA